CGAAAUUCCUUGUCGGGUAAGUUCCGACCUGCACGAAUGGCGUAACGAUGGCCACACUGUCUCCAGCCGAGACUCAGUGAAAUUGAAAUUGCGGUGAAGAUGCCGUAUACCCGCGGCUAGACGGAAAGACCCCGUGAACCUUUACUAUAGCUUGACACUGGACUUUGAAUCGAUUUGUGUAGGAUAGGUGGGAGACUUUGAAGCAGGAACGCCAGUUUUUGUGGAGUCAACCUUGAAAUACCACCCUGGUUUAUUUGAAGUUCUAACCUAGAUCCAUUAUCUGGAUUGGGGACAGUGUCUGGUGGGUAGUUUGACUGGGGCGGUCUCCUCCUAAAGAGUAACGGAGGAGCACGAAGGUACCCUCAGCCUGGUCGGAAAUCAGGCAAUGAGUGCAAUGGCAUAAGGGUGCUUGACUGCGAGAUAGACACAUCGAGCAGGUACGAAAGUAGGUCAUAGUGAUCCGGUGGUUCUGUAUGGAAGGGCCAUCGCUCAACGGAUAAAAGGUACUCCGGGGAUAACAGGCUGAUACCGCCCAAG
rnacentral:sRNA from 1 species